AUCAUGAAUGCCAUGAGAUAAUAGGGUGUUGCAUUAGACUCACGAAUAUGUUGCAUUGCAUAUUAUGUUUGAUGAUGUGGAUGGAUGUUGAAUGAUCCAUUAGUCCCUCUAUGCUAUAAUGAUGAUGAUACGGUACGGAAGACCAGUGAGGCCCAUUCUACGCCCCUGGCACAGUUGGACCAUGUUAUGUUAUGUUAUGUAAGAGAAAGACCAGUGAGGCCCAUUCUACGCCCCU
rnacentral:lncRNA from 1 species